rnacentral:rRNA from 1 species
AACAAACGCUGGCGGCGUGCCUAAUACAUGCAAGUCGAACGGGGAAAGCUUUCGGGUGAGUACUAGUGGCGCACGGGUGAGGAACGCGUGGAUAAUCUGCCUUAGAGUGGGGGAUAACUAGUCGAAAGAUUAGCUAAUACCGCAUAAGACCACGAGAGCUGCGGCUUUUGAGGUCAAAGGUUUUUCGCUCUAAGAUGAGUCCGCGUAAGAUUAGCUAGUUGGUGAGGUAACGGCUCACCAAGGCGACGAUCUUUAACUGGUCUGAGAGGAUGAUCAGUCACACUGGAACUGAGACACGGUCCAGACUCCUACGGGAGGAGGCAGUAGGGAAUAUUGCACAAUGGAGGAAACUCUGAUGCAGCGACGCCGCGUGAGUGAUGAAGGACUUCGGGUCGUAAAGCUCUGUCGCAGGGGAAUAACACAAUGAAGGUACCCUGUAAGAAAGGAUCGGCUAACUUCGUG